rnacentral:rRNA from 1 species
CCCUUAGAUGUUCUGGGCCGCACGCGCGCUACACUGAUGAAUUCAACGAGCUCCUAACCUAGGCCGAAGGGUCCGGGUAAUCUUUGAAAUUUCAUCGUGAUGGGGAUAGAUUAUUGCAAUUAUUAAUCUUCAACGAGGAAUUCCUAGUAAGCGCGAGUCAUCAGCUCGCGUUGAUUACGUCCCUGCCCUUUGUACACACCGCCCGUCGCGCCUACCGAUUGAAUGGUCCGGUGAAAUGUUCGGACCGCGACAAGGCGGACGGUUCGCUGUCAGCUUUGCUGCGGGAAGUUCAUUAAACCUUAUCAUUUAGAGGAAGGAGAAGUCGUAACA